UGUCAAGACAGUGCUGAAGGGGUCAACGAGAGCCUGAGAGCAGGUUUUAUUUGGUCACACACGCUCAGUACUCGCAUCCAACUGGGCUCAAGGCUCAUUUGGGAGUCGUCUUCACCCACACAGCCGCCCACACACUGCUCGCUGACGUCACCACCACCUAUCAUCAGCAACAGAGCUCAGCCUUGGACUGUGAGACACUGCAGCUAUUAUGCACCUCAUACUGUCGUACCUGUAAUUGUGGGAAUGAACGGGUACGUCAGCUAUUAAACAAACGCGUAGGAUGUAGAACCGAUUAAUAAUUUAAUGUCAGGACUUCAAAUUGAUUACAGAUUCAUCUCCCUGAUAAUUUCCAGUGUCCUGAUCAUAUGUUAAUGCCUCACCCAUAUCUGAUCAUCAUGCCAUGUGCAACGUGAUAUGCUUUUUUUUUUUUUUUUUUUUUCUUCCCUAUGACUUACAGCACGUUAAUGAAAUCUGCAAAUCCCUGCAGUAUUUCAUUGAUACAUGCACUGUGUGUUUUAACAUCCGUUUGUCCACAUGAGGUCAGCAUUGCACAACGAAAACAGACUAAAGUUUCAAUUCUGAAAUACCCACAGCACAUGUAGCAGCAUAUUUUUAUUUAAAGUCUCAACAGAAACAUUGCACAUUGCCGUUUCAUGCCUUAGGUUUCUUUCAGUUUUAGCCCGCUAUAAAUAAAUCCAGUCCAAACAGGGAGGAGGAAAGAAGAAAUACAAGGAGCACAUUACUCUGCAAAAAAGACAGAAGUUGGCCACAUUGGAAACCUAAUAGAAAAAUAGAACAGCGAUAUUCAUAAUUCACAUAACAUGAUGCAAUAGAGUUUAAAUCAUGCAUUUCCGAUGGAGUAAUGUGUUUACCGAUGAGAUUCAAAGUACGAGGUAUUUGUUGGCUCACAUGUUUGCUACAUCCUUAGCAAGUGUUUGGAUUUAAUACUGCAUAAAACAUGCAAUUGAUCCGGUUGUUUUCAAUCAGCUCUUCAACUAAAAUACAGCAGCACACAGAUCCAUGCCACACAAUGUGCACAGUCACAUUUUAAACUCCAAUUAACAAAGCUACAACACAAUUCAUAAGGCAUAUGCCUCAAAAGUAACACUACUACUAAUAAUUAUAUGAAAGUAAUAACUUGUGACCACAUGGGCACUUCAGUACUACAAGUAUCAGUGUGUCAGUCUUCUUCUGGUAGUAAUAGGAGCUGUCGUGUAGCAUUUGUGAGCUUUGAGAGAAGGCCAAAUAUUAGAUUAAAUGAAGUUUACAGAGGAGC